rnacentral:guide_RNA from 1 species
AAAUUUUUAAACAGUAGAGUUUAUGUGUAUAAUAGAUUGUAAAU